rnacentral:lncRNA from 13 species
AUGAGCCACACUGUCUGGGCCGCCCCGGCAAAGGGAAGGUGGAGGGCCGCGGCCAGCCUGGGGUUGCGGAGCCCACCCGCGGCGGGAAAGCAGCGCGCGGGAGCCGGCGCGGGCGCAGCAAGAACAGCAGCCACCAGCGCCGCCUUCCCGGCGAGUAGAUCCGCGCGGGGCGAGCGGGAGCUGAGAGCGCGGGGCGGGGAGCGCUGGGCCGCCUGGGCCCGCCCCCGCCCCGCCCCCGCUGCUGCACCUCCUCCUCCUCCUCCUCCUCCUCCUCCGUCUCCUCCCUGCCCGCGUGAAACUCGAGCGCCCCACCCGCGCCUGACCUCCCCGAGUCCCGCCCCUUCCCGGGACGGGACCCCCCCUUGCUCCCGGACGCCCCGCUGCACCCCAGGAGUUCCAUUCCCGUCUCCCCAGUACGAGUGUGGCGGUGCGCUGACUUUUGGGGGCUCCCUGCCCUGUCUCUCACAGGGCCCUGCUGCGGCCCCCGCCCUGGGUCCCGACUCAGACGUGGCUGCACCCAGGAGGGAGCGACGGCCGAGACUUGAGACGUGGCGCGCCAGCUCUGCUGGCCUCUGCUCCAGUGCCUGAAUUUCAGCCACAUCCCUAAGCUGCCAUCUCAGACCGAGGAACAGGGAGGGGGGCUGGAAAGAGCAUCACCUGGAAGAAGUCAGGACAUGACUGUGGGCCAUGAGUGACCUUCAAAGGAAAGCUGGGCAUCUGUGGUCUUUAAGAUGUGAUAAGAUUGCAUUAAAAUUGUAGAAAAACCUCAAUCCCAAAACUGCGGUCUCUUGACAUUUACAUCUUAACUGGAUUUUCCUACCAAAGAGCCGGGAGACACGUGAUGAUCAUCCUCCUCGAGUGUCCUCUUUAUACCCUGUUUUCAUUCUUUUAGAUCCAUGGCAUUUAAGAACUGAAGAAAUGAACAGAUCAUCUGAUCAGUCCCAUCAGUCAUGUUCCCAAUGCUAAACAUUGGUACAAAGAUGUGAAGCUUGGUAUGUCACUAAGCUUGCCUCAUACUGCUUUAUUGCUUACCUACCUCAAAGUAUUGGGAAGACAUGAUUAUGGGUACAGGUGAUGCUGUGUUUCCUCCCAAACAGGUUUCUUUCAUCAGAGUCUGUUGAUAGAUUAAGAAUCUACAAGUGGGGAGAUUUUAAGGAAAUAUCAGCACAGCUGUGACACUUGGGUUUCACCAAAACAUCUUUAGGGUUCUCUUACCCCAAGAAACAUGCAUUCCUCUUUAGUGUAGCAGUCCACUCUAUUAGCAAAGUUAAGAAGACCGGUUUUAUUUAAAAAGAGCUGGCAGGGCACAGAGGCUCAUGGCUAUAAUCCCAGCACUUUGGGAGACCAAGGCAGGCAGAUCAUGAGGUCAAGAGAUCAAGACCAUCCUGGCCAACUUGGUGAAACCCUGUCCUUACAAAAAAUACAAAAAUUAGCCAGGCAUAGUGGCAGGAACCUGUAAUUCCAGCUACCAGAGGGGCUAAGGCAGAAGAAUUGUCUGAACCUGGGAGGCGGAGGUUGCAGUGAGCCGAGAUCACGCCACUGCACUCCAACCUAGUGAAAGAGUGAGAAUCCAUCUCAAAAAAAAAAAAAAGGAGCCACCAAGAAACUUAGACAGAUAGAAAGAAAAUACUUGAGGCACAGAUGAGAAUGAGCACAAAUGUGCAUCGGAAGUGCAGUUUCUUGGUCCUUAAACUGAAGGGCCAGGUCAGUCUGCUCCUCCAGGCACAGCCUGAGACCCCAUCACGUGCCUUGCUCUGUAGUCUGAGUUUCCAUCCAGGUCCACCCAGGGCCUGCCUCACACUGCCCAUGUCUACUCAAAGGGUCGCAUUUUACCACUGCUACAUGUUCCCAAAGGUUGGCACAGCAUGACCUGGACCUCACCUAACCCAGGUGAACUCUGCUCGUCUUUGAGCUCUCUGGAACCCAUUUCUCAAGGAAGAACCACAUUCUCCCACCUCACCGCCACAUUCAAGGAAGCAGCCUGGUUAAAGCAAUGACUCAAGAAUACAACAGGCAGACCACACAUUUAACAAGAUGCACUCACUCACUUGCAGGAGCAGGUGGGGGAGGGCAGGUGUCAUUUGCCCUGGUUAUUUUUUCUUACAAGAGUUUACUGAUUCUUCUUUCAGUAAGGGCCUUCUAAUAAGACAAUGUGUUUUAUUUCAGCUAUGUGUGCAGAAAACCAAAGGAUUCUAGAAAUCUGAACGUAUAUUUUACUUUGUCCUCUUGAUUAAAUUUCUGGAUAUAGUUUCUAGCAACCCAAUUUGCUUAAACAAAAUUGGUGUAUUGAAAAAGCCCAAGUCAUCUUUUAUAAUUAUGGUGUGGGGAGAAGAAAAAAUGCUAAGUCUAAAAGAUUUUUGGAAUAUCUGAAGAAACUACAGAUAGCUUGUGGCAUGGAGAUAAAGCCUCUGGAUGGUUUCCAGAAUGUUGUGUUCUGACACUGAGCCUUGUAUAUAUCUUGAAUGCCUAUAAACAAAGAAUGGCUAUACUUUUUUUAAAAGAUAUGUUUUAUACUUAUUAAUCAAUGUCCUCUUCACUCCUCUGCCUUUGAAAAUAGAGCUUUGGGGGAAAAUAAGUACCUUUGAAAAUAUGUUUUCAAAAAUAAUAUCCUGCUUAGAUUUAGAAGCACAGAUUACUCUGCCUUAGUGUAUUUACCAGAGAAAUUAAGUCAAAAUGACCUUGAGUUAGUGAAAAGAGGAUCUAUUAAGUGAAAUUAAACCCAAAAGCAAAAUAUCUCCUGAAGAAAAUCCACAGAAACAAGAGCCAUCAAGGACCCAGGAGGCCCUCCAUCAAGUGUCAUUUCAGGCCCUCAUUUCCAUUCCAUUCUCUUUGUCAUAAUUCACAGUCUCAGUGUCUUUCACCCAAAAUACCAACACCUCUUCUUACUGUCUCCCUGACUCCAGCUCCAGUGAUCAUUCCCCAAGCAGCGACAUCAAACCCACCCCUCACACACACAUCAUCAUCAUCAUCCUUAACACAGACCUGAUUUUAUUUGAAUUGGAAACUUCUUGGCUACAAAAAAAAAAAAAAAACAACAACAACUCCCUGGCAGCUAGGUGAGGUCAUAGAACUCAGCCAUGACCAUUAAGGUGUAAAUUGAGUGGGAUUCUAAGAUAGGCUUUGUAAAAAGGGGUAGACAGCUAAAUGGGCAUUGUCUUUCUUGCCCUUCCUGGAAGUUGAUUGUGAUGGUCAAAAUGCCAGGCACUAUCUGGGCACGAUGGCUCAUGCCUGUAAUCCCAGAACUUUAGGAGAUUGAGGUGGGAAGAUCACCUGAGGUCAGGAGUUCAAGACCAGCUUGGCCAACAUGGUGAAACCCCAUCUCUACUAAAAAUACAAAAAUUAGCCAGGCAUGGUGGUAUGCACCUGUAGUCCUAGCUACUCGGGAGGCUGAGGCAGGAGAAUCUCUUGAACCGAGGAGGAGAAGGUUGCAGUGAGCCGAGAUCAUGCCACUGCAUUCCAGUCUGGGCGACACAGUCAGACUCCAUCUCAAAAAGCAAAUAAACAGCAAAAUGCCAGGCA